AUGAAGUUUCCUGCAUUUAUAGAGAUGGUUGGCUGUGCAAUCUUUUUGGCUGUUGGCUUAGAAAAAAAAUUGAGAUGUAUGUCUACCUAUCUACUAAGGCAAAAAUGUCACAACUGGUAUCAAUCACCUCAGACUCAGUUCUCUUUGUUUUCCAUGCCUGUGGUGCCUCUCCACUGCAUCUUGGAACCUCUGCUGGCCUCUGGUCAGAGCUGUGCCUGUCCUCUCCCAGCCUCGUGUGCUCACCUGCUGGCUCCCAUUCGUGUUUCCUGGCUCCUGCGUGCGGCCAGUUCACCUCCACAUACACCAAAUAGGCUGGAAGGUUGUAUCAGUCCUCUGAGCAUCACUGAACAUUUCAAGACGAGUUGUUUGUGAAGCAUGAUCCCAGCAGAUCCUCCACAAGAACAAAAAGAGGAUGGAGCAGUGGAACAGAAGACUGACGAUGGAAGAUAGAAACACUGCAAAAAGGAGAAAAAGAAAUACAGAUCCAGCUUCAUGCCUGCCUUCAGUACAGAGGUGAUAAGAGAUGGUGAGGAGUGGCUGCAGCUGAGCAGGAUGCGAGGUGUGCUCAGGGAGGGCAGCAGCAGCUGGCAUCCAUCCGUCCCCGUGUCCUGGGGUGAUGGCAGAGGUGUGCUCACUCCUCUGUUCUUUGACCAAUGUGGUUUGCACUCAUCUGCAGAAAACAGUUGAACUCUCUUCUGAGUUACAUUCUUAUGCCAAGAAUUGGGGAAGUCUGCCCACUAUUAUCAGUAUGGUUGGUUCCUUCUAAUCAGUCAUACUAGGUUGAAUAGAAUCUAAUAUUUCCUACCGAUGUCUGUGGAAGGAGGCUUAAUUUGGGGUCAUUUAUUCCAUUCACUAAAAGUUUUACAAGUAGCUUUAAGGAUCAAGCAGCUUUAAAGAUCAUGUUAUCUGAUAACUAUUGUGUUAUUGUGUUAAAACUAGAACAUAAAAUUAUUUAAUUAUCAUAUUCUGUAUGUUCAGCUCCUCAGGAUAUUUUUCCUUUCCAGAACAUGCAAUCAGCACAUCCCUAGGCCAAUUAUAAAUUAUAAAAUAUCACCAUCAAAUAUGAGUAUUCUUGAGUGGAGGUGAGUAUUUUGAAUGGGUAUUUACUGAAGAAGAAGAAAAAAAAAAAGUAGAACUUGCUUUAUCACUUUCUUUGAGUUUGCCUUCUUCAAAGCCAACUAAUUUAUCAGGAUGAAUAUUUGUAGACACAGCAGACAACGGAGAAUAUUUAUGGAAAGUGAAUUUUAAACUCAAGCAUGAAUAUUAAUGCUGAAUCUGAGUUAUUUUUUAUUUUUAUUUAUUAAUUAUUUGCUUUAACUGAGGAAGAUAUCACAAGCAUUGCACUGCAACUUAAACAUCCGUAUGUGCGGCAAAACUGAACCUCACAGUGAAAUGGGAUGGUGACUGUUAGCAUUUAACUGCUCAUAAACCACAGAUGACUUUUUAUGUGGAUAAGUAAUUAUAUACAGAUACCGUCAAGUAAAUCCUGUAUUUAAUAACUUCAUACGAGCCAGGGAAUUUGAGGAAAGAAAAAGAUUGCUCAUAUGCUAGUGAAUGGUAAUCAAAUUUAUUAUUUUUUAGUAUUUCACUCAAAUAAUAACCAGUAGUUAUUUAUUUUACUCACAGAUUCCAUGGCUGUCCAUAUUAUCCCAACUAUCUGUGCUAAUUAAAAUAAUUACUUUGAUCCAGUACAAAUAAAUUUGUGCUCAUUUGGUAGUUUCUUUUGAAC
rnacentral:lncRNA from 1 species